rnacentral:rRNA from 1 species
UACGUAGGGUGCGAGCGUUAAUCGGAAUUACUGGGCGUAAAGCGUGCGCAGGCGGUGAUGUAAGACCGAUGUGAAAUCCCCGGGCUUAACCUGGGAACUGCAUUGGUGACUGCAUCGCUCGAGUAUGGCAGAGGGGGGUAGAAUUCCACGUGUAGCAGUGAAAUGCGUAGAGAUGUGGAGGAACACCGAUGGCGAAGGCAGCCCCCUGGGCUGAGAUUGACGCUCAGGCACGAAAGCGUGGGGAGCAAACAGG